rnacentral:rRNA from 1 species
GAGGAAUAUUGGGCAAUGCCCGCAAGGGUGACCCAGCAACGCCGCGUGGAGGAUGAAGGCCGUAAGGUUGUAAACUCCUGUUAGAGGAGAAGAACAGUACCGAUUGGAUCGGUAUUUGACUGUACCCUCAGAGAAAGCCCCGGCUAACUACGUGCCAGCAGCCGCGGUAAUACGUAGGGGGCAAGCGUUGUCCGGAUUUACUGGGUGUAAAGGGCGCGCAGGCGGGAUAGCAAGUCAGAGGUGAAAUCCUACAGCUUAACUGUAGAACUGCCUUUGAUACUGUUAUUCUUGAGUUCGGGAGAGAGAGACGGAAUUCCAGGUGUAGUGGUGAAAUACGUAGAUAUCUGGAAGAACACCAGUUGCGAAGGCGGUCUCUUGGUCCGAUACUGACGCUGAGGCGCGAAAGCGUGGGGAGCAAAC